rnacentral:rRNA from 1 species
UAGUCCACGCCGUAAACGAUGAUUACUCGGUAUUGGCGAUACACUGUCAGUGCCCAAGCGAAAGCGUUAAGUAAUCCACCUGGGGAGUACGUUCGCAAGAAUGAAACUCAAAGGAAUUGACGGGGGUCCGCACAAGCGGGGGAGCAUGUGGUUUAAUUCGAUGAUACGCGAGGAACCUUACCCGGGCUAGAAUGCUUCUGGACAGAUGCCGAAAGGUGUUUUUCUCUUCGGAGACCGAUUGCAAGGUGCUGCAUGGUUGUCGUCAGCUCGUGCCGUGAGGUGUUGGGUUAAGUCCCGCAACGAGCGCAACCCCAAUCUUUAGUUGCCAGCACGUAAUGGUGGGGACUCUAGAGAGACUGCCGGCGUAAGCCGCGAGGAAGGUGGGGACGACGUCAAAUCAUCAUGGCCUUUAUGCCUAGGGCGACACACGUGCUACAAUGGCGUGCACAGAGGGUAGCCAGACCGCGAGGUUGAGCCAAUCCCAGAAAGCACGUCCCAGUUCGGAUUGG